rnacentral:lncRNA from 1 species
ACCUGAAGUAUCAACUCUUUGUAAUAUCGAUCUGAGUGGCUGGUCUGUCAAUACUAAAAUAGUAUGAGCUUGGAAGCAAGGCCUGAGUCUCCAGGCUGCUAUGAUCAAAGUAUAUAUCAUCUUUUCAAACUUUUUAUAUCGGAUCUCUAUGUCUCGCAAUAAUUUACUGGUAUAAUAAAUAGGUCUUUGAAUGUCUAUUUCUUUCUGGAUAAGAACCGAACUAACUGCACAAGGUGAGAUGAAAAUAUAUAUGUAUAGUUCUUCACCUUUGACCGGCUUAGAUAGAAGAGGCAG